rfam:Streptococcus phocae strain ATCC 51973 contig_34, whole genome shotgun sequence.
AAGUGUCUUCAGGGCAGGGUGUAAUUCCCGACCGGCGGUGACUAGAGUAUCUAGAAGUCCGCGAGCGUAAGCUGAUGUGGUGUAAUUCCACAACCGACAGUAAAGUCUGGAUGAGAGAAGACCGGG